UACGUAGGGUGCAAGCGUUGCCCGGAUUUAUUGGGCGUAAAGGGCGCGUAGGCGGCUCUGCACGUUCGUUGUGGAAUCGCCCGGCUCAACUGGGCGGGGUCAGCGGAUACGGCAGAGCUUGAGCAAGCUAGGGGGCAAUGGAAUUCCCGGUGUAGUGGUGGAAUGCGUAGAUAUCGGGAGGAACACCAGUGGCGAAGGCGGCGACCUGGGCCAAUACUGACGCUGAGGUGCGAAAGCGUGGGGAGCAAACAGG
rnacentral:rRNA from 1 species